rnacentral:lncRNA from 1 species
GCUUGAUCAACAGUAAAAUCAGUUAAUUAACUCAUCAAUUCAUUCAUUCAAAAAAUAUUUGCGCGCCUACCAUAUGCCAGGCGUACUUCCAGGCACUGUUUUGUAUGAUGGUGCUCAUUUUUUCUGUUUUCUCCUCUAGAUGCUAUCUUCUCGCUUUCCUGUGUGUUGGGAGGCUGAAUUUUAUGAACGUCUCUAUAGGGAUUCUGCACGUUCUGAAUUCAGCUAACGGAAUAUACUAGCAGGAAGAUGAAAGUGCAGAGAGUAUAGUCAGGAGACUUAUUUCCUUGGACUUUUCCCCAGUGGCUUCCUUGAGUCAGCUUCAUGCCUCCUCUCCUGAUGAUGUUCCCCUCCUAAGCUACUCUCUGUUGGAGUAGCCCCCUCCACUGGCCCCAGUCCCUGGACGCUGUUGUAAGAAGAGUGGAAGUGAGGAAUGAAGGAAGGGAAUAAAUGAGGUUUGGCUGACUGCCUCCUUGCAGUGGAGGGGAAUUAAAGAACGCUGCUCCAACUUGGGCCCUGUGGACGCCUUACAGCCUGGAGAAAGGGCAGACUGUCAUCCGAGCUCGGCCUGUCCUGCUGUCUGCUCUCUCCAGAGAGCAUCCUUCAUCCUGAUAAACGGGCUGUGAGCUGAGCACGUGACUGAGCUCCUUAAGGUAAAUAGAUUACAGAGAGCUGCUCCUUCCACACUCGCUCAACAGAAUUUGAUAAGCAGGAUCAUUGACGUGGCCAUCAUGGUGGAGACAAUGCUUUUUCGAAAGAUGGG